rnacentral:tRNA from 1 species
CGUUUCGUGACACAGUUCGUUUGUUUUGGGCCUCCCUUACAAGGAGGAAGUCGGGGGUUCGAGUCCCUCCACGCCCA